CCGAAAACCUCUGAUGGUUCAUCAACAGAAAGCUGGACAUACCCUGGAUAUGGCUGAGAAGUGUGCCAUAGGAAAAGCUCUUCUAUCUCUGGGGCUAACUAUGGACUGAGAGUGCAGAAGGAUAGAGGAGUCCAAAGACACCAUGUGCAGCGCUUGGUACAGAAGAACGAUAUGCAGAUUGUGAAGGUCCACUUUUAAUCUGAGAAGCAGAGAUCGAAGCUGUGUAAACAAAAAAGAAAUCACGGUUAAGGUGCAGAGUUGACUGGCAGGCCACACUCAAAGGUUCUUCUUUCACAUAUCCAUUCACAUUAUAGAUUUCUGUGUUCAGUGUG